rnacentral:rRNA from 1 species
UACGGAGGGUGCAAACGUUGCUCGGAAUCACUGGGCGUAAAGCGCACGUAGGCGGCCUCGUAAGUUGGGUGUGAAAGCCCUGGGCUCAACCCAGGAAGUGCAUCCAAAACUGCAUGGCUUGAGUACCGGAGGGGUUCAGAGAAUUCCUGGUGUAGAGGUGAAAUUCGUAGAUAUCAGGAGGAAUACCAGUGGCGAAGGCGCUGAACUGGACGGUAACUGACGCUGAGGUGCGAAAGCGUGGGUAGCAAACAGG